AUUGAACGCUGGCGGCAUGCCUUACACAUGCAAGUCGAACGGUAACGGGCCUUCGGGUGCCGACGAGUGGCGAACGGGUGAGUAAUACAUCGGAACGUGCCCGAUCGUGGGGGAUAACGAGGCGAAAGCUUUGCUAAUACCGCAUACGAUCUACGGAUGAAAGCAGGGGACCGCAAGGCCUUGCGCGGACGGAGCGGCCGAUGGCAGAUUAGGUAGUUGGUGGGAUAAAAGCUUACCAAGCCGACGAUCUGUAGCUGGUCUGAGAGGAUGAUCAGCCACACUGGGACUGAGACACGGCCCAGACUCCUACGGGAGGCAGCAGUGGGGAAUUUUGGACAAUGGGCGCAAGCCUGAUCCAGCCAUGCCGCGUGCAGGAUGAAGGCCUUCGGGCUGUAAACUGCUUUUGUACGGAACGAAAAGCCUUCUUUUAAUACAGGAGGGUCAUGACGGUACCGUAAGAAUAAGCACCGGCUAACUACGU
rnacentral:rRNA from 1 species